rnacentral:sRNA from 1 species
UCUAACACAGCCACGUGGCAUACUAAAGAAACAGAGGAUACAACA